rnacentral:rRNA from 1 species
GACGAACGCUGGCGGCGUGCCUAAUACAUGCAAGUCGAACGCAGUGGGGACGGGUGAGUAACACGUGGGUAACCUCCCAUCAGAGGGGAUAACACUUGGAAACAGGUGCUAAACCGCUACUGAUGGAUGGACCCGCGGUGCAUUAGCUAGUUGGGGAGGUAACGGCUCACCAAGGCCACGUUGCAUAGCCGACCGGGGGGGGUGAUCGGCAACACGGGAACUGGGACAGGGCCCAAACCCCUAGGGGAGGCAGCAGUAGGAAAUCUGCGGCAAUGGACGAAAGUCUGACCGGGCAACGCGGCGUGAGGGAAGAGGGUUUUCGGUUCGUAAAACUCUGUUGUUAGAGAAGCGGUAUCAAACCAGAAAGCCACGGCAAACUACGUGCCAGCGGCCGCGGUAAUA